rnacentral:rRNA from 1 species
GGGAUUGCCUCAGUAACGGCGAGUGAAGCGGCAACAGCUCAAAUUUGAAAUCUGGCCCUUUCGGGGUCCGAGUUGUAAUUUGUAGAGAGUGCUUCGGGCGAGGCCUCGGUCUAAGUCCAUUGGAACAUGGUGUCAUAGAGGGUGAGAAUCCCGUAUGCGACCGUGGCUCGAGCCCAUGUGAAGCCUCUUCGACGAGUCGAGUUGUUUGGGAAUGCAGCUCAAAAUGGGUGGUAAAUUUCAUCUAAAGCUAAAUACUGGCUGGAGACCGAUAGCGCACAAGUAGAGUGAUCGAAAGAUGAAAAGCACUUUGGAAAGAGAGUCAAACAGUACGUGAAAUUGUUGAAAGGGAAGCGCUUGCAACCAGACCUGCCCGUAGGCGAUCAGCCGCUGUUUUCAGCGGUGCACUCGCUCUGCGAUCAGGCCAGCAUCGGUUUCGGCGGUCGGAUAAAGGCCUUGGGAAUGUAGCUCCCCUCCGGGGGAGUCUUAUAGCCCUCGGUGCAAUGCGGCCAGCCGGGACCGAGGACCGCGCUUCGGCUAGGAUGCUGGCGUAAUGGUUGUAAGCGACCCGUCUUGAAACACGGACCAAGGAGUCUAACAUCUAUGCGAGUGUUUGGGUGUCAAACCCAUGCGCGGAAUGAAAGUGAACGGAGGUGAGAACCCUUAAGGGCGCAUCAUCGACCGAUCCAGAUGUCUUCGGAUGGAUUUGAGUAUGAGCAUAGCUGUUGGGACCCGAAAGAUGGUGAACUAUGCCUGAAUAGGGUGAAGCCAGAGGAAACUCUGGUGGAGGCUCGCAGCGGUUCUGACGUGCAAAUCGAUCGUCAAAUUUGGGUAUAGGGGCGAAAGACUAAUCGAA